rnacentral:lncRNA from 1 species
CCUCAGGCUCCUUCUUCCCCUCUCCACCCCUGCCAUGUUUUCCUGUGGUGAGGCUCUGGCAGCUUCCGGAAGACAAGUAACGGGAACAUCAGUCAGCCCACAGCCGCGCUUCCUGUGCUGCAAAAGGUGUCCCCGCUGCACUGUGGAGGUGGGAAGUUGCACAAAGCUGGGCAGUGCUGCCUGCCGUUGUUCUGCUGCAUGGACAGCGCGCGGGGCCCACAUCACCCCUGCAGCUGUGACAGACUACGUCCUGCCGCCCAAACAUCUCGAGUUCCCGCUCUCUGCACUGCAAGCCGGGGUAAUUACCAGCUACAGGCUCAGAAGCAGGGGCUGGCCCAGCACCCUCACGAAGAUUGCUGUGGUUUACUGCACUUGAAUUCCUCCCAAGAUUGCGUCUUAUCUACAGAGCAUAACUUGACAGACUGUUUGAAUACUGGGCAUAGAAAGGUAAGUGGGAGUGAGCAACAGAAGCCAAGUUCCCCUUUCCCUCCAGGUGAGGUCACUUUCCUUCCUGCCAGCUCAGAAGCAAGCCCUGCUAGAGACCAGGGACGCCUGAGGGGUUCUGCAGUCACCAUGCUCUGGCCAUCCAACCUGAAGACAGUCUUCGCCCUCUGUGUCUCUCUUGCCUUCCUGGUCACCACUGUGGGUAAGAAUGAACCCGUGGGUCUUGCUCCCCAAGACGGGAAGG